GUCUAAAACUAUUAUUAUAUUGGAGUCUAUCUCUGCCGAGGCCAUGGGAAGCUACUACGCCAUGUUUAUAAGCAUUGGCAUGACAGGAUCAGGUUGCCUUUGGGAACCAUCACCCUGGUGGCACUGUGAAGAACUGACUAGAGGGAAACGAGACUGGAAGAGGAUGGGAUCAAUCAGGAGGAUACUUCAGGACUGUAAGCAAGAAAUAACGAUGGAGUCGGCUAAAAGAUGACAGAGAGGGCUACAGAAAUGCAGAGUUAUUGGAAAAGUCUGAAAUGUUUAGGAAGCAAAAUUCCAAAGACUUGAGAUUUCCCUAAAUUUACCAUUUCUGUCACUGCCAAAAAUGUUUAGCAACUUUGCAAAAACACUAUGACAGAACCCCUAAGUUACAUCAUGUGAAAAAUUAAGCUCAAUAAAUGGUCGCUGAAUAAAUGAACAGAAAAUAUCAAAAA